rnacentral:rRNA from 1 species
UACGAGGGGGGCAAGCGUUGUUCGGAAUUAUUGGGCGUAAAGGGCGCGUAGGCGGUUUGACAAGUCUGAUGUGAAAUCUAUGGGCUCAACCCAUAGCCUGCAUUAGAAACUGUCGGGCUUGAGUAUGGGAGAGGUGAGUGGAAUUUCCGGUGUAGCGGUGAAAUGCGUAGAUAUCGGAAGGAACACCUGUGGCGAAAGCGGCUCACUGGACCAUAACUGACGCUGA